AGUCCAAUUCUUAAUACACAACACAGGGAAUGUUCAAUAAAUGUCACUGUCUAACUGAUAGUAUUAAUGCUAAAGGGUUACUUCUCUUUGCCUAGGCCAUUGCUUAAUUAUUUCAAAUUAUGAAAUUGGAGGAGGAACAAGACCAAGGUAUCAAAGUAAUCAUUGUUUAAUUUUUGGCAAGAAACUUUAACUUCAAGUUUGUUUGCUAGAAUUCACUAGGUCUGCUGAUGCCCUCACAUGGUUGGAGGGUUAUUCUAGCUUCUAAGGACUGAAUGUUGUCCACAAGAGUGUCAUCAGGUCAUAAAUUGGUAAGACUUAAUGGCUUAGAUUUUAUGUAUUAUACCUGAUGUUAUUGUAUUGAGAUGAAUAUUUAUGAACAAAAUGAGCACAUUGUGUAAGAGUAUAGUAUUAAAUAUAAGUUAAAACUUGGAAUUUUAAAUACUUGGAGUAUGUAAGCCUUUCGAAGUCUCUUGAGGCUGAAGGCCGUAUCUUUGCAGUGGUGUUUAGUAAAUACAUCAGUUUAAAAAAAGAAAGUGAAAUCCUGUAUUAUAGUAAGAUUAUUAAAAUAUUGCUAUUGCAUCUGCUGUAGAUGCCUACAAUAUAGUGAAGAACCCAAAUACUUUUUAGGUGUUAUACCAGGAGAUAUUUGAGAAAUAAUAUAUUCAUCUUUUCUUUAAAAAAAAUCCAUUUUCUUAAUAACAUACAGCUUAAUUUUAUUGCUUUGGAGAUU
rnacentral:lncRNA from 1 species